UGAGGCAGAGAAUUGCUUGAACCCAGGAGGUGGAGGCUGCAGUGAGCUGAGAUCACACCACUGCACUCCAGCCUGGGUGACACAGCGAGACUCCAUCUC
rnacentral:miRNA from 1 species